CGCCCAAUAGCUAGCUCACCCCCACAAAACCAAUAUCACCCUAUUAAUAACCCCUAACACACUUAAACCCAUAAACAAACCAUUUUUCCUCCUUAGUACGGGCGACGGAAAAGGAACCUGAAGCAAUAGAGAAAGUACCGCAAGGGAAAGCUGAAAGAGAAAUGAAACAACCCAGUAAAGCACUGAAAAGCAGAGACAUAACCUCGUACCUUUUGCAUCAUGAUUUAGCCAGUACCCCUUAAGCAAAAAGAAUUUUAGUUUAAUACCCCGAAACUAGGUGAGCUACUCCAAGACAGCCUAAUCAAUAGGGCGCCCCCGUCUCUGUGGCAAAAGAGUGGGAAGAGCUUUGAGUAGAGGUGACAGACCUACCGAACCUAGUAAUAGCUGGUUGCCUGGGAACUGGAUAGAAGUUCAGCCUCAUAAGUUCUUCCCUCGACCUGUCUAACUGGCCUAUUCCUGAGAUCAGGAGAAAUUUUGAGAGUUAGUCAAAGGGGGUACAGCCCCUUUGAAACAAGACACAACUUUUCCAGGAGGAUAAAGAUCAUAAUAAUUUUAAGGCAAAAUGCUAUGGUGGGCCUAAAAGCAGCCAUCCUGAUAGAAAGCGUUAAAGCUCAAGCAUUAAUUAACCCCUACAAUACUGAUAAUAGAUCUAAAACCCCUAAACUUACCAGGCCGUUCCAUGCCCCCAUGGAAGCGACCAUGCUAAUAUGAGUAAUAAGAGAGCCCAAACUCUCUCCCAGCACAUGUGUAAAUCGGAACGGACCCCCCACCGAACCUUAACGGCCCCAAACAAAGAGG
rnacentral:rRNA from 1 species